CUACGGGUGGCAGCAGUGGGGAAUAUUGCACAAUGGGCGCAAGCCUGAUGCAGCCAUGCCGCGUGUAUGAAGAAGGCCUUCGGGUUGUAAAGUACUUUCAGCGGGGAGGAAGGGAGUAAAGUUAAUACCUUUGCUCAUUGACGUUACCCGCAGAAGAAGCACCGGCUAACUCCGUGCCAGCAGCCGCGGUAAUACGGGAGGGUGCAAGCGUUUAUCGGAAUUACUGGGCGUAAAGCGCACGCAGGCGGUUUGUUAAGUCAGAUGUGAAAUCCCCGGGCUCAACCUGGGAACUGCAUCUGAUACCGGCAAGCUUGAGUCUCGUAGAGGGGGGUAGAAUUCCAGGUGUAGCGGUGAAAUGCGUAGAGAUCUGGAGGAAUACCGGUGGCGAAGGCGGCCCCCUGGACGAAGACUGACGCUCAGGUGCGAAAGCGUGGGGAGCAAACAGGAUUAGAUACCCGUGUAGUC
rnacentral:rRNA from 1 species